UGAUAAAAAGAAUAAAUAAAUAAAUCCAACAUGCGGCUUUUUUAAAGUAAACAACAAAAUCUUUAUCCAAAGAUCAAAAAUUCAAUAUUGAAUUGUUUGUAAUCAUGUAAAUAAAAAUCAUUAGAAACAUUUACUAAACAAAAGCAAACAUAUAAGAAGAGUCAGAAAUUGCGAUCCUGGAGAUUAUCCCAUAGAUGUUCAGCAAGCUUUGGAAAGAUCUAUAGAGUUUUAUGAAGGCUGCUAAUGGCUAGAGAGUUUAAUGACUAGACUGCAUUUAGUAACCUUGGUAAUGCUCAUGUUUCUCUUUGAGAAUUUCAAAUAGCUAUACAAUAUUACUAAUGAGAAAAUUUCAAGCAUAAAUUUUUUUCAGAG